rnacentral:tRNA from 1 species
GGGCCUGUAGCUCAGAGGAUUAGAGCACGUGGCUAC